GGGGCGGGGUUACGGCACGGUGGGGGAUCGGCGCGGGACACCCGGGUGGGCGGGGCCACCUUUCUCAGGUGGGUUUCGCCGAAGGCGCAGGUCCUCACCUGGCUGCGGCCGGACGCCAAACCAGAAAAACAAAUGCUGACGGACGUUUCAAUUUUUUGCACAAUCGGUGACUUAAAUAGGACCUAGUCUGGGCGGGGAGACAGAAGGUAAUGGAGAAGACCUCAACUUAAGGAACUUGAGAAUAGCCAGACCACCAUAAACUGUCUUGUGAUCACCACCAGACUGAUGGCAUUCCCUCAUACCUUCCCAUGGCCGUCCCUCACCAAAUUUCCUUUAAAAAAGGAGACCAAGAACCCCCAAAGUCUCUCUUGCUGGUGAAAAAUGUAUUCCUUGCUUUCCUAAAUAAAUUUCUGUGACUCAAUA